GACCCACUCCCUAUGUAGAUACAAAGGGCUCAUUCUAAGACUGAUUGCUGAGGCGGCAACUGGUUGAGGAAGUCUACAUCACUCUUCAUACAUCAUACUGAUACUGCAACAACUACUAUUAAUGUAAAACUACUCCUGCAGAAGCUAGUUCUAGUAUAAAUACUGCCUUUAGAUCACCACAAAUACUGCUAUUGUUACCAUAUAUCACUGUUAUUCCUGCUACUACCACUAUGAAUUCUUUUUUUUUUGUAGUGAAACCUCCACUUCAGCCACAUCCAGUAGUAGGGGGGAACAGACUCAGUUGUAAUACAGGCUCCAGGAUCCAGGCUUUAAACCAAAGGAGACUGUGCCUUUGAAGUUUUGGCUUUCUAAACUUCGGAGCUCUCUCACUUUGGACUUAAGAUCUGAGGACACCUUCAAAAAGCAGCUCAACACCCAACCAUUUUCUGUUACAGAAACAGAAGAUAUGUCGAAGAGAACUCUUACAUUGCCCUUCAGCUUUUUUGGAAUAUGAAGGAGGCAACAGAAGGCAGGUUAAACCUGCGAAGACCAAGUUUAGAGUGCUCAGUUCCCUCUGCACUGCAGUCAUUUCACUGCUAACUCUACUGUUGUCAUGGGAAGGGUGUGGACAGGCAUGUGCUAUGUCCGUGACAGAUGGUAUCGCCAGCCAUUUCUUUUCACCUGCCAUUGGAGAGGGGCUUCACUAGGAGAGCAUAAUGAGCCGGAGGUUCAUGUAUGCCCUCUAGAUCACACCCCCCUCUGUGCAGGUGUCCCGACCAAUCAUUCACUCUCAUAACUCAACUUUGACUGGACUUUUGCAGUCAAAGCUCCUGAACUUUGGAACUUCUUGCCAGAAGACCUCAAGCAUUUUAAGUAAAUCUCCUCUUUUUCUGGUCCAUUUCUUACCCUACUUUUUAAAAAAGAGUUUUAGCUUUUGAAACAUUCUACAUAUGAUCUACAUUUUAUUGUGCCUAGUUUAAAGCACUUUAUGCCUUUCUGUGGGAUUCAAGUAGGAAACAGAAUUGGUGUCAUUGUUACUGGCUGUGAUGUUGCUGUAAAAAUCUAUAUUUGACUCUUUAACUCAUAGAAAUGAAGGCUGGGCCACACAAAUAUCACUGACCCGCAGAAAUUAAGUCUGUUUUAUGUAAGAGUGGAAAGAAAGUCAGAGGCUCGUGUGAAAAAGUCUUUGAAGUGGGCAGAAAUCCCAGACCCCAUCUGAAAUCCUUCUUUUCCCCUGUAAUGGAGAGGAGAGGCAGAAAAAAAGAUGAGUCCCCUCUGCCAAAUCAUUCUUCUACUGUACUUUAAAUCAGCUGUGCCUCUUUGUUAUAUUCCUUUCUCUCAACCUUUUUUUUUCUGCUCCCUUUUAAUCUUUAUUCCAGCCAUCUCUAGCGCUUUGUGAGUGGCUGGAAAUCAAACAGAGGCAGCGGGAGCAGAAAGGGUAUCAAAUUUUAGAUUUAACGGUCAGACUCCAUUAAAAUUCACACAUGCCGUGUAAAUGUACUCAGACUUGACAGAGAGAUGAUAUUCACUUUCCUGUUAAUUUAUUGAGGUAAAUUUUCCACAAACAAGAUGAAAUCUUACUGAUCCAAGAGCAAGUGAACUCUGUGUGUUGCUCAGCUUUAUAUAUUUUUUCUCUUUAAUCUCUAUAUGACUUUCUGACUGUCUGAUUAUCCUUUUAUGAAGCCCUGAAGCAAAAACUUUGUUGUCAUGCCCUUAUUAUGGCGAAAACAGCAAACCAGCAAAAUCAUGAUGUCCAAAAAAAGACAAGUAUGUCAGCUUCAUUUGAAGAAAUGUAAAACUGCAGUUCAAGACGAGACAAAUUCAAGUUUUGAAGACCAUUACAGUAUUCAAUCAACUUCAACCUCAUUAUCUCAUCUUUGCAACAGAGCAAAUGGCCCUUAUAUACGAGUACUGAGCUUGUUUACACUAGAUAGGAAUUGAAUUAUGUAUAUGGAGCGAUGUGAGUUAAACUGGAGAUUGACUGACUGAGGAGAUCAAAGAGACUUGACUGUAACGUGUUUUGAAGAAUUUGUUUGAAAAAUGAGGUUGAGUAUAUCAUAUGACAUAUUGCAAGUGUUAAAAAAUGGAGCUUUUUACCCAUUGUGGGAUUAAGAUUAAUUACUGUAUUUUGAAGAGUUGGUUGCAAUGUUGUAUAUUUUUGGUAAUUUAUUUAUUAGUUAUGGCCUUUUUAAUCUACCAGGAGUAAAAAUUGUAUUUUGCAGAAAGCAUGUUGUUUUUCUAGUAUUUAUGUUGAUUUAUAAGUCACAUAAAUAAUUGAUGAACUAUAAAGAAACAGGAAACAACCUCAGGCACAAACCUGACUUAAUCACUUAAGUAUUUCAUCAUUCCUCUGUACAAUAAUGAUCAAAAAUACAUUAACCAUGAUGUAACUUUCAGUGGCUAUAUACAGUAGAUGUCUGGAAAAUGCCAAUGUCAAACUCCACAAAACCAGUUUGUAACACAAACUUUCUGUUAUAGAUUUGUUGUGUCCGAGCCCAAACUGAGAUGAUGUUAUCAGCAGGUGUUAUUUUCUCAAAGCUUAAAAAUCUUCCCCCAGAACCACAGAUGACAAUAUAAAACAUGAGUAGUACUAACCUAAAAACUGACCUUCAUGUGUAAAAUGGAUGAAGUUUCCCUUUAACAUUUUGAUAUAUUGAUGAUGGUGUAAAUGGUUUUUGUUCUUAUUAAGACCGCUACUAUUGCGUGAAUCAGAAUUACAGAAAAUACGACCCUUUCUCAAUGUAGUCUUCAGGGCAGGAUUUCAUGUUAAGUUUCAUAUGUGCAGUGCAUCAUGUGUAUGAAUACCACACAGCUAUAAUUGUAGAGGCAGUAAAUGUCUUCCCCAAAUCUGAAAUGAAAAUGGUGCUCUUGUGUGUAGGCCAACAUAGAGGUAAUCAACCACUGGCAUAAAAAAAUCUUUGAAGUAGUCAGGGCAUUUUACACAAGUUCAUCAUCAUCAUCAUCCAUCUCUCUGCAGCCCACACACGGGUGGCUCUGCUCUCACAGAUUGGGGGCAGAGUGUUUCACCACAGGGGUGCCAGACGAAGUCAAGGACUGAUGGUUUGAACAGACUCUGUCAGGGGGAAGGGGUGGGAAAAGAACACCAUUCACCAAAAAAAUACCAGGGGGCUUCAAGGGCAAGAAAAAUGAAUUUUAAAAACUUGUAUAUGCUCACCAAGGAAAAACAUUUAUGUCUAUAACGUCUUAAAGAAAAUUACAGCAAUCACACUGAUAACCCUCCAAAUGGAAACAGGAAUAUUGCCCUGUCGGAAACUACAUCACUGGAUAGAGGAUUCUUGUGAGUCUUAACUACUUUUAUUGCCUAAGAGGCAGUCCAGACUGAAAAUAGCACUAUGCUAAAAAAUGCAAGAGGCUGUUUUGGAAGAGAGAUAUUGCUGCGGGUACCAGUGAGGAGAUGAAACACCAACCAGGAAGUCCAGUUUUAGCAGUGGCUCCACAGGCUUCAAGCAUGGUAUCAUUCAGCCGGAGACUGCGGGAAGUUGGUAUUGGUCCAAGUACCAAGGUGCAGUACAGUGAUCCUCUGCAGCCCCAAUUAGAUUAGCAUCAUUAUAACAGAGACAUCUAUAAAACUGAUGCCACUUAAUUUUAUUAUGAAUUUUCAAACCAUGAAUGUUGACAGAGCCCAGAAAAGCCUUUUUUAUUUGCAUGACAUUAUCUCAAAAAGUCUGUAGGACUGGGCGGAGCUGCUCUGGGCGGGGCCAAGAAGAGAAUCAUUAAUGCACAUGUGCGGUGAGUCGUAUAAUGCAGAUUAGGGAUUUCUGGCACAACUUCAUCUACUUCCAAGGUGCAUGGAGAAGGAAAGAAGUGUGCAGAGAUCAAAACCUCAGCAACACUUGUAGUAUAAAGAACAACUCUAUUAUGAGACCAAUGCAUUUCGGCUUGUAGCCUUAUAAAGACCGCUGGUUUUUCUUUUCUAUGCACCUUGGAAGUAGGUGAAGUUUUGCUGAAGUUUUGACCUCAGUGAGUCGCAUAACGCAAACUUAGAAGAGAGAAGACUUUUGUCUUAUGUUCUAGGUGAGUGACUUUCAUUGGAAUGAAUGUGCGCCAUCGUGGA